rnacentral:lncRNA from 1 species
GGGGAGGGCGGUGUAGAAGCGGGGCUGUGGGGCCACCCAGCGUGGGCCCAGGAGGGGAAGGAAUGCGACUGAGGCCGGGUGUGGCUGAGGCGAGCACAGCCAGUUGUGGGUUUUUCUUGGGGCCCAGAUAGACGGGAGCAGAGAUGGAGGCCCCUCUCUCGCGCCCCCGCCACACACACUAGGACCUUUCUUCA